CGCUAGAAUUGAACAUCAGUCGGAGACAAGACAGUAAAAGGACAGUGUUCUUUGCUGUAAAGAUUAUCUCUCAGAAAGUAUCGGGUGUCUAUCAAGGAAACUAAAAACAAAUUUAGGAUUAGUACAAUAACAACACAGAGGUUUGCAUAGCAUAUAUUGUUAUACUCCCAUUGUUAUGAAAAAGCACAAUAACCAGUUGUAUUCACAUUUUGUAUUUUCUCGAUUGUUUUGAUUAAUAUGAACGCAGGAAAUACUGCCCUUUGUCACAUGAUGUGAUAUGGUUUAAAAGUGAAAACAAGAAAAAAAAAGUAUUUAUAAGGCCCUGCAUCAGUAAAAACAUACAUGCACACUGCAUAUGCAUACGUGAUGUGUUAACAAAUUAAAAUGAUUAUAUAUAAUUAAAAGCAAUGCCAAAAGAAAAACAAAUCAAAUGUGCAGAAGAAAAUGAACAUUUUCACUUAGUUUUUACUGUAAAAACUAAAAGCGGCUUCGCCAACUUCUGACAUAAGAAGGCCUGUCAGAGAGGAACACUGGAGCCACAUGGGACGAUUUCAAAAUCAAUCCUAAAAUUAAAGUGGAAAUAGACAACUUUUCUUGCUUUGACUUAUCGUUACACAGUAAACGUUGAUUGCACAGUGUAAUGGCUAUAGAAUAAUGACACCAUCCGCAUUUAGAUUGGCUCCCUAUAAGCCUCGCUUUCACUGUGCUAGUCUGUCUGCCACGACUUUUCACAGAAAAAUUAAUGCUCCGUUUAAGUGUGUCAGCCAUUGCACAACCAAAAGAGAAGAGGAAGGGUUUUCCCCCGGUGGCUAUCGGUAGCUAUCCCCAACUGUGGAACUUUAUCGGCACGGAGAUCGGGGUUUCUAGUUCAAAUUGGGAUUCUUCUGGUUGUCUCUUGUUCUGGACAGUAGCCAGGCUGCUAGUGGUAGUCAUGUUGCUAACUCUGUUACCUGGUACAUGUAUACCAAAGCGAGUAGAGCAGAGCCGUACCAUGCAAUGGAAACACGGCAUUAUUUCCAAAGCGGUGGUGUUAGUUUCUUCACGAACAUUUGGAAACAAACGCAGUGUGUCCUGUGUUGUUGGUAGUCGCUAGGCUCUGAGGAAAACAGAAAGCCAUCUGCUUGUCUUUGUGACAGUGGCACCAACAAUGAUACCACUUGGAAACGCUAGGGAGGAAAAGUUGUAUAUUUCCACUUCAAUAUAAGGAAAUGCAGGGAUCUGGGGACUACAGAGAGGGGGUUUUCCUUCUAGUUUGAUUUACUUUGAGGCUGGACUCAAACGCAGGACUCAGACAGGGAGUAGCGAAGAGAAAGGUUUUAUUGAUAAAAGGGGAAUGAAGGUGGAAAGAAAGCCGGGCUUGGGAAUCCAGAGCAGGCAGGGAGAGUGUGGCGAUAAUGGCGGUGGAGGCGGCGUGACAGAGGGAACGCAGUGAAGCGUGGCUGGCAGAAGUGAAUGGGAUAGUAAUGGGAAUUACGGCUCUUUGGCUCCUAACUCCCAGCAUUCACGUAGAGGAGCCGGCUGAUAGGGCAGACUCGUUCACGACCGACACAUCGCCAGAACGGGAGGCCGGCAGGCACGCAGUGGUGCAAAUUAGCAGGUGGCAAGCAAACAGGAAGCAGAGUCAGACAACAUGCUUUGAUAGUAAGACUUGGCAGAAAGGCUCGUACCACAGAGGUUGAAACAACAAUCUGGGGAUGACUGGAUGAAGGGCCGGAGGAGAUGUACUGCAGGAGACGAGCUGAUGAGAGGCAGCUGAGGAGACUGGGCAGGGUGAUUGGUUGAUAGAAGCCAGAGCCCCUGAACGCCUCACUGCAGCGGAAGCCUCCUUCAUGAACUGUGAGCAGGAAGCCCAGGUGGCGGGCGUCUCGAGCCUCUUGCAGUGAUAUCACUCUUCCUCCUCCCUCCCUCCCUCAAUCACUCUUCCUCCUGCUGUGGAAAAAUAAAACCAACUGUGACUAACGAAGUAAACUUCUCACCUGAGUCGACGGGCCUCCUGAGCGCCGAGCUUCAUCCAUCCAGAGCCGGACGUCACCGGGACAAACAAGACGGAGAGCGAUGCUUCAGCUGCUGUGUGACAAGCAUGACCGAUGACGGACGAGUGGACGCUUGGAGGAUCCAGAUCCUCAUUUUACCGCUCACAAACACACCUUGUUUUUUCUUUUUCUUCACAACGAUGAAUGGAUGUAAUUUGUUAGAAAACAUUAGAAAAGUUUGUGAGAAGAGAAAAGUUGUCGGAGUGUGCGCACCGCAGGGAUUUUGCUUCUACCUUCCCUUUUUUUUAGCUGUUGUAUCCAACACAAACAUCAACACCUCUCCAUACAUCUGAGUGUCUCAUGGGAAUAAAAAACAAACAGAGCAGGGUGCCUGUGAAGAAACAAGAGGCAUUCACAGGACACACAAAAUCAGGUUUCAGACACGGUGAAGUCCCCGUGUGACGCCCCUCCAGGUCUUUACAUCCUACACAAUCGACCUAUACGGCCGUUUUUCUGGUGUAUAUCAACAGUUUGUGUGUGAGUCACUGAUGGAAACAAGCUGGUUGUUUCUAUGUCCCCCCCCCCUGCUGUGUCUAUAAUGUUGCUUUCACACUAUAGCAAAAUACAAAACACAAACAGAAAGUUUU